GACGGAAGGUGCAAGCGUUGCUCGGAAUCACUGGGCGUAAAGGGUGCGUAGGCGGCCGUGCAAGUCUGGCGUGAAAGCCCCGGGCUCAGCCCGGGAAGUGCGCUCGAAACUGCGCGGCUCGAGUGCCGGAGGGGAGAGUGGAAUUCCUGGUGUAGCGGUGAAAUGCGUAGAUAUCGAGAGGAACACCUGCGGCGAAGGCGGGUUGCUGGGCUGACACUGACGCUGAAGCGCGAAAGCUAGGGGAGCGAACGGG
rnacentral:rRNA from 1 species